GCUCAGGCCGUCAGGAUGGACAGGACCUCGAUGUGUGUUUGAGACAGGCUGUCGGAUGGUUUUCCGGCGGGUGCGCAUGGUCCCCUCUGCGCUUCGUCUUUUCAAUAGUUGAUGCUGUCAAUGGGAGAACAGAUACUCAUGGUGUUGACUUCUUCUUUUUCCUUUGCUUCUGAAGUCAUUAACUAUUGAUCGUCAGCGGGCUGACAAAUAUGUAUCAAAAGUUGCUGGAAAACGAAAAAAAGGAAUGAAAAAGGAAUGAAAAACGAAAAAAAAAAAAAGCAAAUGCACUGAUUGAAACACAAGAGCCCUUUUUUUAAUCACUUGGCAUCUCGGACGGACUGUCUAUGGACUGGAGGUCAGAAUACACUCCCGAGACGAUGAUCUUACUAGUGACAUGACUUGAGGUAUCACAAAAUGGAUUUCCGCCAUCCAUCUGGCCGAAGUUGGAAUUGAUAUUGGUGACACAAGGAAAUCACUUCCCCCAAACUUGUAGGAAUAUGAUAUUUCUACUUAGUACCAGUUUCAGAACAAAUUCUUGAACAAAUAGUUUCUUCCAUUCUCAUUACGCAAAAAGGAAAAGGAAAAUUAACGGAAAAAACCGUAGCACCAGGAAGACGUUGCCAAAAACUUCACUCCGUACGUCAAAAAAUCGCUUCAACCAACCAAGA
rnacentral:sRNA from 2 species